CUGCUGGCUGUAGAUCAGUGGCUCCUUCAACUACAAAGUGAUUCAAUUACCUUUCGAGGGUGGUUCAAGACACACGGGCGCUCUCCAGUCCUUUU
ensembl:misc_RNA Vault Vault RNA